rnacentral:lncRNA from 1 species
CAUGUAUGUAUGUAUAUGUGUGUGAGAGAGAAAGAGAGAAGUUAGUUGGUUUAUGAAACGUGUUGAAGCUAAGAGCAAACUGAACUUCUAUGAAGUAGACUAUAAAAGUAGAAAAUACACCAAUCAAAAUAUAGUGAAGCUGUCUGGAGAGAGAAAAGAUCCUUAGUGUUCAACCCUGUGACAGCAGAAAGCAGAUAUAUCCAAAAUUCCAUUACCCUUAUCUGUGGAAAGUAGUUUUAUAAACCAAUCCAGCGUUCUUUGUGGAAUGUCAUGUUUGAAGCUAUUUUCUGUUGAGAUAAGUCAAGUAUGACUUACAGAAAGUAUCAAUUUUAUUUUUUUGGUAGAUAAUUAACAUCAUUGCUGGAAGAACCAUAAUGUUUAAUUCCUCAGUGAAAUGGUUAAUAAAUAGAUGCUCUAUGACAGCUGAGAGUGUUGGGCUACUGAGAGGUCAACAUUUUGUCUGUUCUUCCAGGUAGUGAGCAAUGUCUAUGGGAAAAUAGAGGAAGCAGUUCUAUGACUUUAGAAAACCUUCUUCCAAGAUUGGCGAGUCUAAUGUUGAAGAUGUCUAACCUGAAAAAUCUACAGAAAAAUCAAGGGCCAAGAGAGAAUCAUGAUUUUGGUCUGAACACUUGCACCAAAGGGUCAUAUGGUGGUCAUAGUGGUGGUGGUGGUGUUGCUUUGCCUCACAAAAAGUUCUGACCAAUCAGACCUCUGGUCAAGACAUUUCAGCCUCAGUCAUCCCAUCAUUACAGAAAUGUACUUGCAAAGCAAGUGUUUUGAUCUAAGAUCACAUGCAGAGUCUAAAGUGAUUGCAGCAUGGAAGAUAAAAGAUAACCAUUCAGAAACACAGGAAGACUCUUAACUUCACUUAAAUAUUUAUUUGUAAUAUGGUGUUGAAAUUUUUGCCAGCGAACAGGUUGCAGUUUUGAGUGGUGAAAAUUUUGUCAUCCAAUUACAAAUAAAUGUUUAACCCUUAGGAGAUGACAGAGCCAAUCUAGCGUCUGAAAAGUCAAAUGGCAAAGAUUGUAUUAGUUCAUUCAAUUUCCUACAACAAUAUGUAUAGUUUUAAAUAUGUAAAGUAAUUACUUUAUUUUUUAUAAUUUUUAAAAAAAUAAGUGCAUGCAUACUGUAGGGCUUGUGAAAAGGGAUCAGUCUUCUUGGCACUGAAACUCCAAGCAAGGCUCCGUCUCCAAAGGGUUAAGUAAAGUUAAUGGUCUUUGUGUGUUUCUGAAUAGUUAAUUUAUAUCUUCCACACUACAAUUACGUUCUAUCAUUUAUAUUUUUCACACAAUGUAUUUGAAACUACCAUA